rnacentral:tRNA from 2 species
UCCGGUGUAGCUCAGCGGUAGAGCAGCGGACUGUUAAUCCGUUGGUCGCUGGUUCGAUCCCAGCCACCGGAGCCA